rnacentral:rRNA from 1 species
UGGGGAAUAUUGGACAAUGGGCGCAAGCCUGAUCCAGCCAUGCCGCGUGAGUGAUGAAGGCUCUAGGGUUGUAAAGCUCUUUCACCGGUGAAGAUAAUGACGGUAACCGGAGAAGAAGCCCCGGCUAACUUCGUGCCAGCAGCCGCGGUAAUACGAAGGGGGCUAGCGUUGUUCGGAUUUACUGGGCGUAAAGCGCACGUAGGCGGACUUUUAAGUCAGGGGUGAAAUCCCGGGGCUCAACCCCGGAACUGCCUUUGAUACUGGAAGUAUUGAGUAGGAUAGAGGUGAGUGGAAUUCCGAGUGUAGAGGUGAAAUUCGUAGAUAUUCGGAGGAACACCAGUGGCGAAAGCGGCUCACUGGACCAUUACUCACGCUGAGGUGCGAAAGCGUGGGGAGCAAACAGG